rnacentral:tRNA from 1 species
GGACAGGUGGCCGAGCGGCUAAUGGCAACAGACUGUAAAUCUGUCGCUCCUUGCGAGCUACGGAGGUUCGAAUCCUCCCCUGUCCACCA